ACUUUACUGUGGUUCUGUUGGUAGAGCAUUGCCCAGUCAUUGCAAAGGUCGUGGGUUCAAAUCCCAGGGAAAGCG